rnacentral:lncRNA from 1 species
UCGACGCUCGAACUGCUGUGUAGAGCACGCAAGGGUAGGCGGCGUGAGGAACUCAGUGCAUUAAAACAGUUGUGGGUGCAGCGCAACUGCGCGAGGCCGCAAAAGCGAGUGUCAUCAGCUUCUGUCGCUGAACUUUAUGUUCGGCACCUUUCGCUCAGCCCUGUGAGCGCGCGCAUGCCUCUGCGAAGGCAAGGGAACGUGUCAGUUGUUGCCGAUACUCGGGAAUUGUCCUCGCGUCCUGUCAUCCCGCGCCCACCCCAAGGCCUGGGAGCUUCUAACCUCCGUGGCCUAGCCAUACAAGUAAUAGUCCAGCAGUCCUACAACACGAGCCAAUCACUAGGAGUCAACAACAACUACAACUCACAUAUUCUCGGCCCACUGGGCCCACCUGAACGUAAGAACUCUCCUCGCACGCGUCUUGACGCAGCCGUUUGGCAGAUACACGGCCAGCUCGUAGGCCUCGACUAUUUUCCGGGCAAAGAGUAUUCUAGAGUCGACCAACUAGG